rnacentral:lncRNA from 1 species
ACCAUAAAUCCAGAUUCAUAUCCUUAGCUUCAUUAAUAAACUGCAGGAAAUUAGGAGGUUUAAAUUAAAUCUCGAUUUUAUUAAUCACAAAAUUUGAGGUAGUCGCUGAAAUUUUGGAAGGCACCUGUAACAUCAAACGCAUCUCACUUCGAGGAAGUCAACAAAAACUCUUGUCGCUAAAGUGCAAGCGAAGUGAAAAUGGAUCAAAUACUAUUUAGUAAUAGGACAUUUGAAGAACGAAAUUACAUUGUUUUUCAGUUGUGCAUAGAAACAAUUAGGUAAUACCACAUGGUUUAACUCAUUAAAUAGAUACAAUAAAUUAUGACAUAUAAUCAGAACAACAAAAAUGUUCUUUCUUUUUGCUGAGGAAAAAAAAAAAAAAACCAAAAUCAAGAAAAUCAAUUGAAGCUGAAGAUUAAUCAAAAAGGGUAAAACCAAACAAGCAUUCUUGACCAAACACCUACAGUCAUCAAUUAAUUCCAAAAGAUGAACAAAGAAGCUCAAUCUUGGAAGCUUACCGAAAGAUGUCUUGAAUAAGUAUAAUAACAUGAAAAUUAAUACAAAGACACAAAUUUUCACUUUUAAAAAUAACUAUCUUUGAUUAUGUUUUCAAAAUGUUUUUCUUAGUUAUAUAUUAACAAGAUACCAUAAUAUCUACUUUUCUUCUUAAUCUUUAUCACACGUAAAAACAGAUGCUUGACAUUUCUAUUAUUUUGAACUUAUAGAAGAUAAGACGGCCCAAAAGUUUCGAGUUUUCGGAUUAUUACUUCCUUUAACCCACUCGCUUCCCUUCUUAACGUUUUAAUGUUAUAUCCCAAUCUCCCCUCCCUUUUUCUUAAGAGUCGAGAUUGCUUUCGAUCUCAGAAUAUCCAUUUGUGUGGCCAUUCCUUCCUUUUGCUAGAUGAACAGCAGGGGAUUGUCACUAAAAAGCCAUAUGUCCCCCAUAAUUAUCUGCAGUUGCCUUUCUUAAUCUCUAAAUUUUCCUUCGGAAUUAAACAGAUCCUUGUUUGUAGAAUCGAGCAGUUAUUGCAGAUGGGAAGAACACAAUCGCUUGCUGAAUAUGUCAGCCCAAUUUUUGAGACAGAUGGAGAAUCCUCUCUAUUUUCAAAAGUCAAAUCCUAUGUUUUUA